rnacentral:rRNA from 1 species
GACGCCGCGUGAGGGAUGACGGCCUUCGGGUUCGUAAACCUCUUUCAGUAGGGAAGAAGCGAAAGUGACGGUACCUGCAGAAGAAGCGCCGGCUAACUACGUGCGCAGGCAGCCGCGGUAAUACGUAGGGCGCAAGCGUUAUCCGGAAUUAUUGGGCGUAAAGAGCUCGUAGGCGGUUUGUCGCGUCUGCCGUGAAAGUCCGGGGCUCAACUCCGGAUCUGCGGUGGGUACGGGCAGACUAGAGUGAUGUAGGGGAGACUGGAAUUCCUGGUGUAGCGGUGAAAUGCGCAGAUAUCAGGAGGAACACCGAUGGCGAAGGCAGGUCUCUGGGCAUUAACUGACGCUGAGGAGCGAGAGCGUGGGAGCGAACAGGAUUAGAUACCCUGGUAGUCCAUGCCGUAAACGUUGGGCACUCGGUGUGGGGGACAUUCCACGUUUUCCGCGCCGUAGCUACGCAUAGUGCCCCGCUGGGGAGUACGCCGCAAGGCUAAACUCAAUGAAUUGACG